CCUACGGGGGGCUGCAGUGGGGAAUAUUGCACAAUGGGCGCAAGCCUGAUGCAGCCAUGCCGCGUGUGUGAAGAAGGCCUUCGGGUUGUAAAGCACUUUCAGCGGGGAGGAAGGCGGUGAGGUUAAUAACCUCAUCGAUUGACGUUACCCGCAGCAGAAGCCCCGGCUAACUCCGUGCCAGCAGCCGCGGUAAUACGGAGGGUGCAAGCGUUAAUCGGAAUUACUGGGCGUAAAGCGCACGCAGGCGGUCUGUCAAGUCGGAUGUGAAAUCCCCGGGCUCAACCUGGGAACUGCAUUCGAAACUGGCAGGCUAGAGUCUUGUAGAGGGGGGUAGAAUUCCAGGUGUAGCGGUGAAAUGCGUAGAGAUCUGGAGGAAUACCGGUGGCGAAGGCGGCCCCCUGGACAAAGACUGACGCUCAGGUGCGAAAGCGUGGGGAGCAAACAGGAUUAGAUACCCGUGUAGUC
rnacentral:rRNA from 1 species